UUUAAACUCUUGCUUCGCCAUCUGUCUAUUGUAAACCUCGGAACCUUGUGUCGAGUUUAGUUUCGCAAAUCUCCAUAUCCGCUUCCAUGUCCCAAUUUGACCAAUCUGAUUCCUUCAUCUUUCUCUCAAUAACAAGCAAGAAUCUUCCACACACCCAGAUCGAAUUGGCAGUCUCUGAAAUCAUUCACUGUCCCAAGUUUUCAGAUUGUUGAGGAACUGAUUACAUAUUGGAGUACUGGGAGUUGGAAUGGGGGUUGUAGAGGCGAAUUCGAAUUUAGACUCGUCAUUUAGGACUGUGGCAUCACUUAAUGGCAGUCAUUCGGAAGUAAGGUUGGGCAAGAAGCCCAUGGAAGUUGGUGAGUGUUCUUAUAGCCCCAGUUCGAGUAAGAUUAAUAGGCGACUUGUCGCUGCUGUUCGUGAUUUUCCACCCGGUUGUGGAAGGAAUGCUCACUUAAACAAUGGCAUUGCUGGCACUUCUCGGAGCGAACCAAUGGAGAGCAGCAGUGAAUUGGAAGCCUCUGUUGGUGGUGCUUCUGGGAGUGAGCCGGUAGAAAAUCCAGUUUCUGGGGAUAGAAUUGAUGAUGGGAAUGAGUUAGAUGAUAGUGAUUUGAUGAGUGAGGGGCCAGUUGGAACAAGACCAGCAUUAGGGGACCAAGUGUCUGAUUUGCCGGAAAAUCAGUAUCAGUGUAGUGACGAUUCGUCGAUUGUUGAAGGGGCGAGUCCUGUUGGUACUGCUGAUCAGGAUGAGCAUUUAUUUUGCGGCGAUGGAAUUGAUGAUAUACAGAAAGUUGUAAACUUGAUCGUCUCAUCUGCUCAGGUGGGUGGUGAUUCUGAAUUGAUGGAUAGGGGGGUUGCUGUUUGUACUGUGGAGACAGAUACAUCAACAGCCUUAGAGCCUCAAGGAUCUGAUUUGUCAAAGAACCAUUCUCUGGUGCGUGUGGCUACAACGGAUGAGAAGAUGGUUUCUGUGCUGUCAGAUGGAAACUUUGCUUCCAUUUCAGUUUUGAAUGCCAAUGGUCAGGAAAAGACUGUGGCUAGAAGAUAUCCUCCUCGAAGACAUGUGUCAGCUGUUCGAGACGUUCCUCCUUUUUGUGGAAGGAAUGAUGUCCUGGAAGCCAGGAAUCUUGGUGAAGAGCAGUCGGAUAUGGGUGACAAACCAUCCUCCUCUAAUAUGUAUACCUUCAUGCAACAAGCAGGAGAUGAUGAAGUUCAGGAGGAAGAGUUUCACAGGAAUGAAUCAGGAAGGAAUGUUUCUGAAGUAACUGGAGACGGAGUUCAGGGGGAAGAGUUUCACAAGAAUGAUUUGGGAGGGAAUGUUUCUGAAGUAACUGGAGACGGAGUUCAGGAGGAAGAAUUUCACAAGAAUGAAUUGGGAGGAAAUAUUUCUGAAGUAACAGGAGACGGAGUUCAGGAGGAAGAGCCUCACAAGAAUGAAUUGAGAGGGAAUGUUCCUGAAGUAACUGAAUGCAAGGGACAUGCCAUAGAAGAAAUGAAGAGAAAAGAUCAAUGGAAAGUAUAUUCUGGGAUGAAGGUGGUUUUGGAAGAUACAAGAAAACGUGACUUUGAACCUCCUCAAACAAGCAAUGGAUGUCAAGCAACAAGGGAGGAUGGUGUACAUUCAGAGAAGAAAGUGGGGAAGCAAAUUGUGGUAUACCAUGAGAACAGUCCAGGAGGAAAUAAUCAAGGAGAUAGGGUAAUUGUAAUGGGUUUGAUGGCUGCAUCAAAUUGUCCAUGGCCGAAGGCAAAAGAGGUUGAGAAACCUAAACCAAAUGGUGGUAUGAGUGGAAGCAAACGGAAGAAAACAGAUGGUAUGAGUGAAAGAAACAAGAAGAAACUAGGUGGUGGUAGUGAAAGCAAACAGAAAACAGCUGAUUUUGAAUGUCAGCCAGAAGGACCUAAAACUACUCCUAGGACCAAAAGUAACUCAAAAAUUAGACGAAAGCCUCAAAAUGGUGCUGGAGCUAUAGAGUCUGCUAAUCAAGGCACAAGCCAGCAGCUUGUUAUUAGGGAUGAGGAUGCUAUUCCAAUAUCAUGUUAUCCACAUGCGUCACAUGUGUACCCUCCUCCUUUUGGUCAUAGUAGUUCAAGCAAUGAAGUUUGUGAUAAUGGUGCAAUUGUCACCCGAAACAAGGUGAGGGAGACGUUGCGGCUUUUUCAAGCUGUUUAUAGGAAGCUCUUGCAGGAGGAUGAAUCUAAGUCCAAGGAAGGAGGAACCUCUCAUAGAAGGUUUGAUCUUCAAGCAGCAAAGAUCCUAAAGAAAAAAGGUAAAUAUGUAAAUGUAGGCAAACAACUCAUGGGAGCGGUUCCGGGAGUGGAAAUUGGUGAUGAGUUUCAUUACAGAGUGGAACUUCUUAUGAUUGGCCUACAUCGUCAACUUCAAGGGGGUAUAGAUUAUGUUAAGCAUGGGGGGAAGAUCCUUGCAACCAGUAUUGUUGCAUCAGGGGGGUAUGCUGAUUCUUUGGAUAAUUCAAAUACCUUGAUCUAUACCGGGCAAGGAGGAAAUGUGAUAUAUACAGAUAAGGAACCUGAAGAUCAGAAGCUUGAACGGGGAAACCUUGCCUUGAAGAAUAGUCUGAAUGAAAAGAAUCCUGUUAGAGUGAUCCGUGGGUCUGAAUCAUCAGAUGGAAAGUCUCGGACAUAUGUCUAUGAUGGACUGUAUAUGGUAGAGAAAUGUUGGCAAGAUUUGGGGCCCCAUAAUAAGCUUGUUUAUAAGUUUCAACUGAACAGAAUUGGGGGUCAACCAGAGCUUGCUUGGAAAGAGCUGAAGAAGUCCAAAAAAUUUCAAGUACGUGAAGCUGUCUGUCUUGAUGAUAUUUCAGGAGGCAAAGAGCCAAUUCCUAUCUGUGCUAUAAAUACCAUAGACGAUGAGAAACCUCCAUCAUUUGAAUACAUAACUAAAGUGAUAUAUCCUGAUUGGUGUCGUCCGCUUCCUCUCCUGGGUUGCAGUUGUACUGCUGGAUGCUCAGACUCUGAGAAUUGUUCUUGUGCAGUUUUGAAUAAAGGUGAGAUCCCUUAUAACUUUAACGGGGCUAUUGUUGAAGCUAAGCCCCUUGUGUAUGAAUGUGGUCCUUCUUGCAGUUGUCCUCCUUCCUGCCAUAAUAGAGUUAGCCAGUAUGGUAUCAAGUUUCAGCUUGAGGUUUUCAAAACUAAAUCAAGGGGAUGGGGGGUAAGAUCCCUUAACUCAAUUUCUUCUGGAAGUUUUAUUUGUGAGUAUAUAGGAGAGCUCCUUGAAGAGAAGGAAGCUGAAGCAAGAGCUGGUAAUGAUGAGUAUCUGUUUGAUAUUGGGAAUAACUACAAUGACCAUUCUCUUUGGGAUGGGCUUUCGACCUUGAUGCCCAACACACAUUCGAGUUCUUAUGAAAUUGUGGAGGAAGAUUGCUUCACCAUUGAUGCUGCACGCAAAGGAAAUUUAGGGAGAUUUAUCAACCACAGUUGUUCCCCUAAUCUUUAUGCACAAAAUGUUCUCUAUGAUCAUGAGGACAACAGAAUUCCUCACAUUAUGUUCUUUGCUGCUGAGAACAUACCUCCUUUGCAAGAGUUGACGUAUGAUUACAAUUACAUGAUAGAUCAGGUUCGUGAUUCCAAUGGCAAUAUAAAGAAGAAGAAUUGCUAUUGUGGUUCUCCAGAGUGCACCGGCAGGCUGUAUUGAGAUAGACUCAACAAGAGAAUUCUGCUUUAUUAGGAAAGAGUUUUUGUGUGGGUGCUUGGAAGAUUAUUGACAAGUGGUGAAAAUACUAGAUGAUGUUUCUUAACUUCUUUUUUGCUGAAGGACGUUUGCGGCAGCCAAGUGUCUCUUGAUUUUCAAUUGCAUUUGAGGACAGUGUUUAAAGGGAAAUUGGAGGCUGAUUCUGUCUUUAUUCAUCAAACUGUAAAACUUAAUUGGGAACAACAAUGCUUCGGGGUCUUAUUCCUGUUUCAAAGCUGGUGAGUUUAAUGUCGGUUUGAACUAUAGAUUUUUGUAUUUACUUUCCUUCUGCAUUAAUUAAGCACUCAUUUGUUUCACAUGUUAUACUUAUAGAAUAA